rnacentral:rRNA from 1 species
UACGUAGGCAGCAAGCGUUGUUCGGAUUUACUGGGCGUAAAGGGCGCGCAGGCGGCUUUGUUUGUCAGGCGUGAAAGCCCCGGGCUUAACCUGGGAACUGCGUUUGAUACGGCAGGGCUAGAGUUCGGGAGAGGAGAGUGGAAUUCCCAGUGUAGAGGUGAAAUUCGUAGAUAUUGGGAAGAACACCGGUGGCGAAGGCGGCUCUCUGCACCGAUACUGACGCUGAGGCGCGAAAGCGUGGGGAGCAAACAGG